GACGAACGCUGGCGGCGUGCUUAACACAUGCAAGUCGAACGGAAAGGCCUUUUCGGGGGUACUCGAGUGGCGCACGGGUGAGUAACACGUGGGUGAUCUGCCCUGCACUCUGGGAUAAGCCUGGGAAACUGGGUCUAAUACCGGAUAGGACCGCACUUUAGUGUGUGUGGUGGAAAGUUUUUUCGGUGUAGGAUGAGCCCGCGGCCUAUCAGCCUGUUGGUGGGGUAAUGGCCUACCAAGGCGGCGACGGGUAGCCGGACUGAGAGGUUGGUCGGCCACAUUGGGACUGAGAUACGGCCCAGACUCCUACGGGGGGCAGCAGUGGGGAAUAUUGCACAAUGGGCGCAAGCCUGAUGCAGCGACGCCGCGUGGGGGAUGACGGCCUUCGGGUUGUAAACUCCUUUCGCCAGGGACGAAGCGUUUUGUGACGGUACCUGGAGAAGAAGCACCGGCUAACUACGUG
rnacentral:rRNA from 1 species